rnacentral:rRNA from 1 species
UUCUGCCACCGAAUACAUUAGCAUGGGAUAAUGGAAUAGGACCCUGUCCUCCUAUUUUCAGUUGGUUUUGGCAGCGCGAGGACUAGGGUAAUGAUUAAUAGGGAUAGUUGGGGGCAUUAAUAUUUAAUUGUCAGAGGUGAAAUUCUUGGAUUUAUGAAAGAUUAACUUCUGCGAAAGCAUCUGCCAAGGAUGUUUUCAUUAAUCAAGAACGAAAGUUAGGGGAUCGAAGACGAUCAGAUACCGUCGUAGUCUUAACCAUAAACGAUGCCGACCAGCGAUUAGGAGACGUUGAAUACAAAACACCACCAUCGGCGCGGUCGUCCUUGGCGUUCGUGUUCACGCACGAGCGCGAGGGCGGUUUAGCCCGAUGGCACCGGUGAAUGACUCCCCUAGCAGCUUGUGAGA